CUGAAUAGGGCGCAUAAGUAACAGGUCGUAGACCCGAAACCAGGUGAUCUACCCAUGUCCAGGAUGAAGGUAAGGUAAUACUUACUGGAGGUCCGAACCCACGCACGUUGAAAAGUGCGGGGAUGAGGUGUGGGUAGCGGAGAAAUUCCAAUCGAACUUGGAGAUAGCUGGUUCUCUCCGAAAUAGCUUUAGGGCUAGCCUCGAGGUAAAGAGUCAUGGAGGUAGAGCACUGUUUGGACUAGGGGCCCUUCUCGGGUUACCGAAUUCAGAUAAACUCCGAAUGCCAUGUACUUAUACUCGGGAGUCAGACUGCGAGUGAUAAGAUCCGUAGUCGAAAGGGAAACAGCCCAGACCACCAGUUAAGGUCCCCAAAUAUAUGUUAAGUGGAAAAGGAUGUGGGGUUGCUUAGACAACCAGGAUGUUGGCUUAGAAGCAGCCACCAUUGAAAGAGUGCGUAAUAGCUCACUGGUCGAGUGACCCCGCGCCGAAAAUGUACCGGGGCUAAACAUAUUACCGAAACUGUGGAUGAACCUCUUUAGAGGUUCGUGGUAGGAGAGCGUUCUAAGGGCGGUGAAGUCAGACCGGAAGGACUGGUGGAGCGCUUAGAAGUGAGAAUGCCGGUAUGAGUAGCGAAAGAAGGGUGAGAAUCCCUUCCACCGAAUAUCUAAGGUUUCCUGAGGAAGGCUCGUCCGCUCAGGGUUAGUCGGGACCUAAGCCGAGGCCGAUAGGCGUAGGCGAUGGACAACAGGUAGAGAUUCCUGUACCAGUGCUAAUUGUUUAACCGAUGGGGUGACACAGAAGGAUAGGGAAUCGCACGAAUGGAAAUGUGCGUCCAAGCAGUGAGUGUGAGAAGUAGGCAAAUCCGCUUCUCGCGAAGCAUGAGCUGUGAUGGGGAAGGAAAUUAAGUACGGAAGUUCCUGAUUUCACGCUGUCAAGAAAAGCCUCUAGGAAGAGUAGUACUGCCCGUACCGCAAACCGACACAGGUAGAUGAGGAGAGAAUCCUAAGGUGAGCGAGAGAACUCUCGUUAAGGAACUCGGCAAAAUGACCCCGUAACUUCGGGAGAAGGGGUGCUCUAUUAGGGUGCAAGCCCGAGAGAGCCGCAGUGAAUAGGCCCAGGCGACUGUUUAGCAAAAACACAGGUCUCUGCAAAACCGUAAGGUGACGUAUAGGGGCUGACGCCUGCCCGGUGCUGGAAGGUUAAGAGGAGUGCUUAGCUUCGGCGAAGGUACGAAUUGAAGCCCCAGUAAACGGCGGCCGUAACUAUAACGGUCCUAAGGUAGCGAAAUUCCUUGUCGGGUAAGUUCCGACCCGCACGAAAGGCGCAACGAUCUGGGCACUGUCUCAACGAGAGACUCGGUGAAAUUAUAGUACCUGUGAAGAUGCAGGUUACCCGCGACAGGACGGAAAGACCCCGUGGAGCUUUACUGCAACCUGAUAUGGAAUGUUUGUACCGCUUGUACAGGAUAGGUAGGAGCCGAAGAGACGUGUGCGCUAGCAUACGAGGAGGCAAUGGUGGGAUACUACCCUGGCUGUAUGACCAUUCUAACCCGCCACGCUUAGCGCGUGGGGAGACAGUGUCAGGUGGGCAGUUUGACUGGGGCGGUCGCCUCCUAAAGAGUAACGGAGGCGCCCAAAGGUUCCCUCAGAAUGGAUGGAAAUCAUUCGCAGAGUGUAAAGGCACAAGGGAGCUUGACUGCGAGACUGACAAGUCGAGCAGGGACGAAAGUCGGGCUUAGUGAUCCGGUGGUUCCGCAUGGAAGGGCCAUCGCUCAACGGAUAAAAGCUACCCCGGGGAUAACAGGCUUAUCUCCCCCAAGAGUCCACAUCGACGGGGAGGUUUGGCACCUCGAUGUCGGCUCGUCGCAUCCUGGGGCUGUAGUCGGUCCCAAGGGUUGGGCUGUUCGCCCAUUAAAGCGGCACGCGAGCUGGGUUCAGAACGUCGUGAGACAGUUCGGUCCCUAUCCGUCGCGGGCGCAGGAAAUUUGAGAGGAGCUGUCCUUAGUACGAGAGGACCGGGAUGGACACACCGCUGGUGUACCAGUUGUUCCGCCAGGAGCAUCGCUGGGUAGCUAUGUGUGGCAGGGAUAAACGCUGAAAGCAUCUAAGCGUGAAGCCCCCCUCAAGAUGAGAUUUCCCAUUUCUUCGGAAAGUAAGAUCCCUGAAAGAUGAUCAGGUAGAUAGGUUUGG
rnacentral:rRNA from 1 species